AUUGAACGCUGGCGGAAUGCUUUACACAUGCAGGUCGAACGGCAGCACGGACUUCGGUCUGGUGGCGAGUGGCGAACGGGUGAGUAAUGUAUCGGAACGUGCCCAGUCGUGGGGGAUAACGUAGUGAAAAUUACGCUAAUACCGCAUACGAUCUAUGGAUGAAAGCGGGGGAUCGCAAGACCUCGCGCGAUUGGAGCGGCCGAUAUCAGAUUAGGUAGUUGGUGGGGUGAAGGCCCACCAAGCCAACGAUCUGUAGCUGGUCUGAGAGGACGACCAGCCACACUGGAACUGAGACACGGUCCAGACUCCUACGGGAGGCAGCAGUGGGGAAUUUUGGACAAUGGGCGAAAGCCUGAUCCAGCCAUUCCGCGUGCAGGAUGAAGGCCCUCGGGUCGUAAACUGCUUUUGUACAGAACGAAAAGGUUUCUACUAAUACUAGGAGCUCAUGACGGUACUGUAAGAAUAAGCACCGGCUAACUACGUGCCAGCCGCCGCAGUAA
rnacentral:rRNA from 1 species